rnacentral:rRNA from 1 species
GAUGAACGCUGGCGGCGUGCCUAACACAUGCAAGUCGAACGGAGUCCAGCCUUUAAGACCUUCGGGUCAAAGAGGGGAAAACUGAGUGGCGGACGGGUGAGUAACACGUGGGCAACCUGGCUCAUAGAGGGGGAUAACAGAGAGAAAUUUCUGCUAAUACCGCAUAAGCACACACUGCCGCAUGGCAGAGGGUGAAAAGAGAAUCGCUAUGAGAUGGACCCGCGUCUGAUUAGCCAGUUGGCAGGGUAAGAGCCUACCAAAGCGACGAUCAGUAGCCGAUCUGAGAGGAUGAACGGCCACAUUGGGACUGAGACACGGCCCAAACUCCUACGGGAGGCAGCAGUGGGGGAUAUUGCACAAUGGGGGGAACCCUGAUGCAGCGACGCCGCGUGAGUGAAGAAGUAUUUCGGUAUGUAAAGCUCUAUCAGCAGGGAAGAUAAUGACAGUACCUGAAUAAGAAGCCCCGGCUAACUACGUG